UCCUGGAUAGCUCAGUAGAGCACGAGACCCUUAAUCUCCGGGUUGUGGGUUCAAGCCCCAUGUGGGGCA